UACGGAGGGUGCGAGCGUUGUCCGGAAUCACUGAGCGUAAAGGGCGCGUAGGCGGCUGGGGAAGUCGGCGGUGAAAGCCCGGAGCUCAACUCCGGGUCGGCCGUCGAGACUCCUCGGCUCGAGCUCACUAGAGGCAGAUGGAAUUCCGGGUGUAGCGGUGGAAUGCGUAGAGAUCCGGAAGAACACCGGUGGCGAAGGCGGCCUGCUGGGCAGUAGCUGACGCUGAGGCGCGACAGCGUGGGGGAGCAAACAGG
rnacentral:rRNA from 1 species